rnacentral:tRNA from 1 species
AAGAAAUUAGUUAAUCUAAUAACGCCAACUUGUCAUGUUUGAAUAAUCCUAAGGAUAUUUCUUG